rnacentral:rRNA from 1 species
AGUGAACGCUGGCGGUAGGCCUAACACAUGCAAGUCGAACGGCAGCACAGGAGAGCUUGCUCUCUGGGUGGCGAGUGGCGGACGGGUGAGGAAUACAUCGGAAUCUACUUUUUCGUGGGGGAUAACGUAGGGAAACUUACGCUAAUACCGCAUACGACCUACGGGUGAAAGCAGGGGAUCUUCGGACCUUGCGCGAUUGAAUGAGCCGAUGUCGGAUUAGCUAGUUGGCGGGGGAAAGGCCCACCAAGGCGACGAUCCGUAGCUGGUCUGAGAGGAGAAUCAGCCACGCUGGAACUGAGACACGGUCCAGACUCCUACGGGAGGCAGCAGUGGGGAAUAUUGGACAAUGGGCGCAAGCCUGAUCCAGCCAUACCGCGUGGGUGAAGAAGGCCUUCGGGUUGUAAAGCCCUUUUGUUGGGAAAGAAAUCCAGCUGGCUAAUACCCGGUUGGGAUGACGGUACCCAAAGAAUAAGCACCGGCUAACUUCGUGCCAGCAGCCGCCGUAA